GACAGAGGGUGCAAACGUUGUUCGGAUUUACUGGGCGUAAAGCGCGUGUAGGCGGCUUUACAAGUCGGAUGUGAAAGCCCACGGCUCAACCGUGGAAGUGCAUCCGAAACUGCAUGGCUCGAGUCUCGGAGAGGAAGGUGGAAUGCUUGGUGUAGAGGUGAAAUUCGUAGAUAUCAAGCAGAACACCUGCGGCGAAGGCGGCCUUCUGGACGAUGACUGACGCUGAGACGCGAAAGCGUGGGGAGCAAACAGG
rnacentral:rRNA from 1 species